CCCUUAGAUGUUCUGGGCCGCACGCGCGCUACACUGACUGACUCAACGAGUUUACAACCUGUGCCGAAAGGUAUGGGUAAUCUUUGAACGCUGUUCGUGAUUGGGAUAGACCUUUGCAAUUAUGGGUCUUCAACGAGGAAUUCCUAGUAAACGCAAGUCAUCAGCUUGCAUUGAUUACGUCCCUGCCCUUUGUACACACCGCCCGUCGCACCUACCGAUUGAAUGGUCCGGUGAAAUCUCGGGACGGCGGCUUGGUCGCUUGCGUCCGACUGCUGAAACUUGAUUAAACCAUAUCAUUUAGAGGAAGGUGAANUCGUANCA
rnacentral:rRNA from 1 species